rnacentral:SRP_RNA from 2 species
GCCAGGCGUGGUGGCUCACGCCUGUAAUCCCAGCAGUUUGGGAGGCUGAGGCGGGUGGAUCACUUGAGGCCAGGAGUUCGAGACCAGCCUGGCCAACAUGGUGAAACCCCGUUUCUA